rnacentral:rRNA from 1 species
CCUACGGGAGGCAGCAGUAGGGAAUAUUGCUCAAUGGGGGAAACCCUGAAGCAGCAACGCCGCGUGGUGGAUGAAGGUUUUCGGAUUGUAAACCUCUUUUGUUAGAGAAGAUAAUGACGGUAUCUAACGAAUAAGCACCGGCUAACUCCGGGCCAGCAGCCGCGGUAAUACGGAGGGUGCAAGCGUUACUCGGAAUCACUGGGUGUAAAGAGCGCGUAGGCGGGAUGGCAAGUCAGAUGGGAAAUCCUAGGGCUUAACCAUAGAACUGCAUUUGAAACUGUUAGUCUGGAGUAUGGGAGAGGUAGGUGGAAUUCUUGGUGUAGGGGUGAAAUGCGUAGAGAUCAAGAGGAAGACUAGUGGCGAAGGCGACCUGCUGGAACAUAACUGACGCUGAUGCGCGAAAGCGUGGGGAGCAAACAGGAUUAGAUACCCGUGUAGUC